AAAGGCAGCCAUUGUCAGACUUCAAAAAGCUUAACUAUUUCAUUUUUGUUUAAACCCAUUUUCAUUUCUCUAUGUUUCAUUGAUCCCAUGAAAAAAAAUCUUUUUUUGUUCUUGUUCUUGCUGCCUUGUACAGAGCAAAGUUGACCCUUUUGUGUUAUCUGGGUUUGCACUCUUCGGUCAUCACUUGUCAUGUGAUGGUUUACCCCCUCUGCUUUUAAGGUCAUAUAUUUCCGCAAGAGAGUAGCAUAGUUUCUAUCCUUGAUUUGUUCGAUGGCGACUGAUUAAAAUUAUCUUCUUGCAGCUAUCUUUCCAUUAUAUAAUCAUUUGUUCAGCUAAACUUAGCUUAAUCUUGAAUUUCUCAUAUUACACAUCUCUUUUCCAUUCUGAAUCCCCCAUAAAUUCCGACCUUGAUUCAACAAAUGGGUCUCGCAAGUCUCCCAGCUCCAUCAGAAGGAGUGCUAUGUGUACUCUUGGUAAACACAGCUUUAUCCAUAUCUAUAGUUAAAGGCAUAAUACGAUCAAUCCUUCACAUUGUAGGUAUCCAUCUCUCAUCAUUGUCAUCCUCCUCGGACUCUGUUGAAAACCCCUCAGAAUCAUUUGACUUGCGCCUUAGCACUUCCGAUAGUUACAUUGAGGAAUUCCGGAGUAGGACCUCAGCCGUCCGGUUUGAUGCUUUAUGUAGCUGCAAGCAGCCUGAGCAUGACUGCUCAGUUUGCCUGACUCAGUUUGAACCUGAAUCAGAGAUUAACCGCUUGUCCUGUGGCCAUCUCUUUCACAAGGUUUGCUUGGAAAAGUGGUUGAAUUAUUGGAACUUCACAUGCCCUCUUUGCAGGACUCCUCUCCUGCCUGAAGAGGAGGUUUCCUGCUUUUGGUGAGAAUAUUACAAGUAUGAUGAGUUGAGGAAAUUUCAUUGUACAGCGUGUUUAUUGUACAGGUCCGGUUACAUCAAGGAGGUGCUAGAAAUAUUGGGUUCAGGACAGAAGGCAAAUCUCCCCAGGAUUUAGCUUUACAUGCUUUUGACAUAAACCAGGAGCUUGAAGAGGAAUAUUGAAUUGAUUGGUUAACUUGAAAGACCCAACGGUCCACAAAAUCAAUGUUAAAAGGUCGCAUAAUAAUAAAAAAGUAAAAAGACAAAAAACAAAAUGUUAAAAAAUUUUCUAGUACCACGUGUGGUAUAUGUACACAAGUGCCAUAGAAGGUAAAAAGGCAGAAGAGAAAGAACCCCAAAGAAAAACCCAUUGAUCCAUUUAUCAUGCAAUCAAAGGCCCUUUACGCUUUUCCGGAGCUCCAAACAGUGAACUUCCACAUUCUCUCAAAUGACGAGACUGCCCCUAUUGUCUACCCAAAUUUACAAACCUGGGAGCUUCCGCCUUGCCGUCCUUCACUGAGCUCCAGCAUCCCACUAUCAUGGAUGUCUUGCAAGCUUGGCCUCGGCCUUACGGUUUCUUCUCUCCGCGAACAUCCUCUUGUCUGCUUCGCUUCUUUAAGUUCUUAGCACCGUAAGUGCCGCUUUUUUUCAACUGGGUUUCCAUUUUCGUCAUGUUUAUUGCUUUCUCUAACGAUUAAAGAUGAAUGGUUUUUUUGUAAAGUUGUGAAUGUGGGGAGCUUUUGUUGAAUUGCUCUGGUUCUUUUGAUUUUUUUAAUUUUCAAUGGUGUUUUAGUCUUCAGAAUUGAUUGAAUAGCUUUAUCGAAUUACAAUUUUAAAUAGGGUUACUUGGUUAGAAGAAGUAGUAUCCAUU